rnacentral:rRNA from 1 species
UACGUAGGGGGCAAGCGUUGUCCGGAAUCAUUGGGCGUAAAGAGCGUGUAGGCGGUCCGGUAAGUCGGCUGUGAAAGUCCAGGGCUCAACCCUGGGAUGCCGGUCGAUACUGCCGGACUAGAGUUCGGAAGAGGCGAGUGGAAUUCCAGGUGUAGCGGUGAAAUGCGCAGAUAUCGGGAGGAACACCAAUUGCGAAGGCAGCUCGCUGGGACGUUACUGACGCUGAGACGCGAAAGCGUGGGGAGCAAACAGG